rnacentral:rRNA from 1 species
UACAGAGGUGGCAAGCGUUGUUCGGAAUUACUGGGCGUAAAGGGCGCGUAGGCGGCCUUCUAAGUCAGACGUGAAAUCCCCAGGCUUAACUUGGGAACUGCGUCUGAUACUGGAAGGCUUGAGUGCGGGAGAGGGAUGUGGAAUUCCAGGUGUAGCGGUGAAAUGCGUAGAUAUCUGGAGGAACACCGGUGGCGAAGGCGGCAUCCUGGACCAAUUCUGACGCUGAGGAGCGAAAGCCAGGGGAGCAAACGGG